rnacentral:rRNA from 1 species
ACGUAGGAGGCGAGCGUUAUCCGGAUUUACUGGGCGUAAAGCGCGUGUAGGCGGUUCGGUGAGUUGGAUGUGAAAGCUCCUGGCCUAACUGGGAGAGGUCGUUCAAUACUGCCGGACUAGAGGAUGGGAGAGGGAGGUGGAAUUCCGGGUGUAGUGGUGAAAUGCGUAGAGAUCCGGAGGAACCCCGGUGGCGAAGGCGACUUGCUGGGCCUGAACUGACGCUCAGACGCGAAAGCAUGGGGAGCGAACGG